rnacentral:rRNA from 1 species
UGGCGGCGUGGAUAGGCAUGCAAGUCGAGCGAGAAACCAAUUAGCUUGCUAUGAGGUGGACAGCGGCGAAAGGGAGAGUAACGCGUGGUUACGUGCCCUCGGGACCGGGAUAGUGUCGGGAAACUGGCAGUAAUACCGGAUAACAUCUAAGGAUCAAAUGGUGAGAUUCCGCCCGAGGAUCGGACCGCGUACUAUUAGCUUGUUGGCGGGGUAACGGCCCACCAAGGCUGCGAUGGUUACCGGGUGUGAGAGCAUGGCCCGGCUCACUGGGACUGAGACGCUGCCCAGACAUCUACGGAUGGCUGCAGUCGAGAAUCUUCGGCAAUGGACGAAAGUCUGACCGAGCGACGCCGCGUGCGGGAUGAAGGCCCUCGGGUUGUAAACCGCUGUCAGUUAGGAGGAAAUCCAUGGUGGUUAUCCAUCAUGGUUGACCGAUUUUCAGAGGAAGGACGGGCUAAGUUCGUGCCAGCAGCCGCGGUAACACGAACCGUCCAAACGUUAUUCAGUAUCACUGGGCUUAAAGCGUGCGUAGGCGGCUUGGUAGGUGAGAUGUGAAAUCCCACGGCUCAACCGUGGAAUUGCGUUUCAAACCCCCAAGCUCGAGGAAGAUAGGGGUGAUCGGAACUUAUGGUGGAGCGGUGAAAUGCGUUGAUAUCAUAGGGAACACCGGUGGCGAAAGCGGAUCACUGGAUCUUUUCUGACGCUGAGGCACGAAAGCUAGGGUAGCGAACGGGAUUAGAUACCCCGGUAGUCCUAGCUGUAAACGAUGAGCACUGGGUUGAGGGGACCCUCACAUCUUCUCGGCCGUAGCGAAAGCGUUAAGUGCUCGCCUGGGAGUAUGGUCGC